rnacentral:rRNA from 1 species
GACGAACGCUGGCGGCGUGCUUAACACAUGCAAGUCGAGCGGAAAGGCCCUUUCGGGGGUACUCGAGCGGCGAACGGGUGAGUAACACGUGAGUAAUCUGCCCUGGACUCUGGGAUAGCCACCGGAAACGGUGAUUAAUACCGGAUAUGACACCUUGCUGCAUGGUGGGGUGUGGAAAGUUUUUUCGGUCAGGAUGUGCUCGCGGCCUAUCAGCUUGUUGGUGAGGUAAUGGCUCACCAAGGCGUUGACGGGUAGCCGGCCUGAGAGGGGGACCGGUCACACUGGGACUGAGACACGGCCCAGACUCCUACGGGAGGCAGCAGUGGGGAAUAUUGGACAAUGGGCGGAAGCCUGAUCCAGCAACGCCGCGUGAGGGAUGACGGCCUUCGGGUUGUAAACCUCUUUCAGUACCGACGAAGCGUGAGUGACGGUAGGUACAGAAGAAGGACCGGCCAACUACGUGCCAGCAGCCGCCGUAACAC